rnacentral:rRNA from 1 species
GACGAACGCUGGCGGCGUGCUUAACACACGCAAGUCGAACGAUGAAGCUGGAGCUUGCUCCGGUGGAUUAGUGGCGAACGGGUGAGUAACACGUGAGCAAUCUGCCCUUGACUCUGGGAUAACUGCGGGAAACUGUAGCUAAUACCGGAUACUUUCACUGGUAGGCAUCUUCUGGUGAAGAAAGAAUUUCGGUCAAGGAUGAGCUCGCGGCCUAUCAGCUUGUCGGUGAGGUAACGGCUCACCAAGGCGACGACGGGUAGCCGGCCUGAGAGGGUGACCGGCCACACUGGGACUGAGACACGGCCCAGACUCCUACGGGAGGCAGCAGUGGGGAAUAUUGCACAAUGGGCGCAAGCCUGAUGCAGCAACGCCGCGUGAGGGAUGAAGGCCUUCGGGUUGUAAACCUCUUUUAGCAGGGAAGAAGCGAAAGUGACGGUACCUGCAGAAAAAGCACCGGCUAACUACGUGCCAGCCGCCGCGGUAA